AGUCUAAUUAGUUUCAAUAUUACUAAAUGAUCCAAUGAAGAUUUGUUUCUUUCUAUCAUAUAAUCUAACCAUCAACAGUGAAUUUCUUGUCAAAACUUCUGCUUCUUGUUAUAAUAAUUAGGUUUAAAUACCUUUUUAGUCCCCAAGUUCGGAUCGGAAUUUUCGUUUUGUCUCCGGUUUCAAAAAUGAAGCCCUUUGAUCCCCAUGUUUUCAAUUUUGAGUGCAAUCGGUACCUUCCGUUAAGUGGAUGCUAACGGCGUUAACUUUUCUUCUCUCUCCUCUGCUAUUCCUGACACUUCUUUCUCUCUUUCCUAUUUCUCUUUUCUCUCUCACCAAUAAACAUUAUUAUAACUACCUAACUCUCACCUCUUUCUCUCUCUUCUAUUUCUCACUCUCACCUUUUUAAUUAUCUUUCACCUUUUUCUCUGUUCUAUUUCUCUCUCUCACUAUUAUAUUUAUUUAUUCAUGCAGUGAACACAUCCUAUUAUGCCUAUUAUUUUCUUCCAAAAGAAAAGCUUAAUCUCAGUCAUACAUACGCUCAUUAGUAUCAUAUGCAUUUCAUUCUACAUGUUGUAUACUUCCAAACUGUAUGAAUGAAGUAUGAAUGAAUAUAUAUCAGGAGUAGAAACAGGAGUCCUGGGAGAGUAUAAAGUACAUAUGCACUGAUGUUAUUCUGUGAUGAGGCAGAGUAUAAACGUAAAGCCUCUUUAUUCCAUUAAUUCUUCUUCUUUCUACAUUUUGUCCAUACAUAUUCUCUCCACAUUUCAAUUUCUCUAUCCCUUUAAUGACUUAUAAUCAACAGUUUCAUGCUACAUCUUAACAGGUUGCUAUUCAAAAUAUAAGGAAAAAUAAAAUUUAUUAUUCUUGAUAUUAUCAAUAUUUUUAUGAUUGUAACUGCAAAGAAAGUCAACUACCUUCCUUUCUUAUAUUAAUUUAAUUUAUAUCUACAUUAGGUAAUCAGUUGCUAAGUAUUUUCCAAAAAAAUAAAAGGAAAUUUAAUUCAUUAUAAUAUUUUCUAUAAACAUUUUAGAUUAACCCCACCAAAACGUUAAUAACGGUCAUUAAUUAAUAACGGUUGGUAAUUCCAUGGUAAUUAUUUGAGGGUUCCUUCCUAAAUGGUGAAAGAAAGGGCAUACUACCUAACUGUCAUGCUUUUGCCUUAUUUUUUUUGCAAAACACUACUACUCGAUUCUCUGAAAUUCAUCGUUGUGACCUCAAAUACACUCAUAUUUCUGGAGGUAUUUCUUCUUGCACCUCCAUAAGCAAAGUAAAAGGUGAAAUUUGUACUCAUCUUCUUCCGUCCACUCCUUCCUCCUACACAACCACACCUCCGUACUUUCUUCCACCUCCACUGGUGCGCAUUUCCCCAUCUUCGUUGGUGCUCUUCGUCAUCUCGACCGGUAGUGCUUCAUGAAGGUUAUUGGUCACCUCCCUCAAUGCGACACUAAUAAUUGCAGAAAAAAAAUGGAAUAGAUUUAAAUUACAACCAUCUCCCAACUUUUUCUCAAUGUC
rnacentral:lncRNA from 1 species